rnacentral:hammerhead_ribozyme from 1 species
AUCCAGCUGACGAGUCCCAAAUAGGACGAAACGUGCGUCACUAUCCAU